GGCUCAGAUUGAACGCUGGCGGCAGGCCUAACACAUGCAAGUCGAGCGGUAGAGAGAAGCUUGCUUCUCUUGAGAGCGGCGGACGGGUGAGUAAUGCCUAGGAAUCUGCCUGGUAGUGGGGGAUAACGUUCGGAAACGGACGCUAAUACCGCAUACGUCCUACGGGAGAAAGCAGGGGACCUUCGGGCCUUGCGCUAUCAGAUGAGCCUAGGUCGGAUUAGCUAGUUGGUGAGGUAAUGGCUCACCAAGGCGACGAUCCGUAACUGGUCUGAGAGGAUGAUCAGUCACACUGGAACUGAGACACGGUCCAGACUCCUACGGGAGGCAGCAGUGGGGAAUAUUGGACAAUGGGCGAAAGCCUGAUCCAGCCAUGCCGCGUGUGUGAAGAAGGUCUUCGGAUUGUAAAGCACUUUAAGUUGGGAGGAAGGGCAGUUACCUAAUACGUGAUUGUUUUGACGUUACCGACAGAAUAAGCACCGGCUAACUCUGUGCCAGCAGCCGCGGUAAUACAGAGGGUGCAAGCGUUAAUCGGAAUUACUGGGCGUAAAGCGCGCGUAGGUGGUUAGUUAAGUUGGAUGUGAAAUCCCCGGGCUCAACCUGGGAACUGCAUUCAAAACUGACUGACUAGAGUAUGGUAGAGGGUGGUGGAAUUUCCCUGUGUAGCGGUGAAAUGCGUAGAUAUAGGAAGGA
rnacentral:rRNA from 1 species